UACGGAGGGUGCAAGCGUUAUCCGGAUUCACUGGGUUUAAAGGGUGCGUAGGUGGGCAGUUAAGUCAGUGGUGAAAUCUCCGGGCUCAACCCGGAAACUGCCAUUGAUACUAUCUGUCUUGAAUAUCGUGGAGGUAAGCGGAAUAUGUCAUGUAGCGGUGAAAAUGCUUAGAUAUACAUAGAACACCAAUUGCGAAAGGCAGCUUACUACCCGAAUAUUGACACUGAGGCACGAAAAGCGUGGGGGAUCAAACAGG
rnacentral:rRNA from 1 species